rnacentral:misc_RNA from 1 species
AACAAGGCGUACCUGCGGACCUGCGGAGGGAUCAUUACGAGAGUGUCACCACUCCCAACCCAUUGUUUACCUACCCGUCCACCGUGCUUCGGCAGGCAGCCCUGUGGGACAGAGCCUCGCCCCCUUUCGCGGGGGGUGCCUGCCGCUUGCCAACCAAAACUCUAGCUGUUUUAGUACCAUCUGAGUCUUCCACAAAUGAACAAAACUUUCAGCAAUGGAUCUCAGAUCGGAAGAGCACAC